GUUCGCGCUUGCAGUGUCGCGCAUGGCCGCGCGCCCGCACUUUGCAAAGGAUUCAAUGGGUCGCUUUCGUGCGCACAUCGCAUUCUCUGUGUGUUCCUGCGUUGAUGGCUCAGCUUCGUUUUGGUGCUUUCAGACAUUCACGUACUAAUCACAGACAUGGGAAGACUAUAAGACGUCAAGAUGAAAGGCUCCUAGCAGCUCAGUGUUCCCAACGAAACUGGCAGAAUGGCAGUGGCUGAUUACAAGCUGCCUUUGGUGAACAAAAAAACCGUGACCACAUUAGAAUCCGAGCAGAGCUCCAAUCCUGCAUUCUGAUGACACCUUACACAACGGCUCUCUGUUAUGGGGGGCUGGUACUUAAGAAGCUUUACUGCGGGCAUCCUACCCACUAUUUUCAGACUGUUUUGGUGGAAACUUAAGCUAGACUCUAGGCCAGCGGCGGAAAAAGAGCUUCAGGGACGUGCAUGUCUACAGUGUCAUGGAAGAUGCAUCAAAGGAUACUGGACCUGCCGCCAGCUGACAUGCCUUUCUUCCUCCUUAGUUCUGUUAAGAUGUGGGUUCAGUUUUUCUAGACAUGCAAUCCAUAAUAUAUGCAGUCUAGUCAAUCAGUGCACGGCAUUACAUGCCAUUCAUUUCCUAUGUAUAUAUUUAGUCAGAAUCAAAGCAGGACAAGCACAUGUACAUAAUUUGCAAGAAUAAAAUUUUGUUUUUUGCUAAUUUUGCUGCCUCUUAAACAUUGUUAUGAAAUGCUGGCUACAGAAGAGGCAUUUUACAAGAUGUCUUUUCAA